rnacentral:rRNA from 1 species
UACGUAGGAGACGAGCGUUGUCCGGAGUUACUGGGCGUAAAGCGUGCGCAGGCGGUUAUGUAAGACAGGUGUGAAAUCCCCGGGCUUAACCUGGGAACUGCAUUUGUGACUGCAUAGCUAGAGUACGGUAGAGGGGGAUGGAAUUCCGCGUGUAGCAGUGAAAUGCGUAGAUAUGCGGAGGAACACCGGUGGCGAAGGCAAUCCCCUGGACCUGUACUGACGCUCAUGCACGAAAGCGUGGGGAGCAAACAGG